GACCGGGGGGCGGUUGGGGUUCACCGCCUCGUGCCGUACUGGCUUCUGGGUGGCCCUUAAUGUCUUGUGCUCUAAGGUGCUGAGGGGAAAGACGCGGGAGGUCUCUGGCCUGACACUAUGAAGGAAGAGAGAAACUACAACUUCGACGGUGUGAGCACCAACCGCCUGAAACAGCAGUUGCUGGAAGAAGUCCGCAAGAAGUAGUGAAUGGAAAACCCGUUAUGAGACACAACUUGAAUUAAAUGAUGAACUAGAAAAGCAAAUUGUUUAUCUCAAGGAGAAAGUGGAAAAAAUCCAUGGAAACUCUUCAGGGUUCUGGUUUACAUCAAGUUUCUAAAAGGCAACAGGUGGAUCAACUGCCUAGGAUGCAAGAGAAUCUAGUGAAAACGUAAGUCUAGCUAUAU
rnacentral:lncRNA from 1 species